GGAGAGAUCGGGGCGUGAGAGGGAGUGGGGAUGCUCUGUAGACGAAAAAAGCAGGGCCUGCCGGUGCAUGUGACUUGUGAUGUUUUGACACACACAAAAAAGAUCAGCACAUCGCAUAGGACAACAUUUGAACGACCAGAGAAGUCUGUUCUCCAUGAACCCGUUUCAGUGACUUCAAACCAGUGUUCCCCCUGCCCUCUCAUCACGUUGGAAUAACAACUGAGAUAUGCUCAUCGCUAUCGCUUCUCGUGAACCAUCGAGCGAACACGCUACCUGCCUUUUAUGUCCUCCUCUUCUCUUGAUCCUCAUCUGGUCAAACCAACCUGUGGGAACAACCAUCCUAUUCAUGCAAGGCAAGAAAAUAUCACGCCACUUAUUUCAAUAGAUGGCAUGAUACUUGGGCUUUCUGACUGAAUGGAGCAGGAGUGUGGGGCACUUGAAGGAAGAAGAACCUCCGAUCCAGCUCAUCAUGGAUGAAAUCAUGGAGCGAAUCAGUGCGACAGCGUGCAUGAUGUAAUCUUGAGGAUCCGUGGAUAAUUCCCGGUGCGUCUCAUGCCCACGCCAUCAAAUUCAAAACCACAAAUUUGGAUAAAAAAUUCAAAAAAUAGUGCACAAAGACGAUCGGAUAAGGAACAUGCUAUUUCUCUGUUGCUUAGGAAAGAUAUAUAAAGGGCUUGAGUCGUAGUAUCCUCCAGUAGGUGAAUAGCUAAGAAUCCCGUAAUUAUGAGUUUUCACUUCCGGUAGGUCUGAGGCGCUUUAACCAAACAUUGAAUUUUCUAAAUGUUGUCCUUUUGAGAAGGAACACCUUUUUCGAAGUUCCAACUUCUGCAUCAAGAUGACACACCUACCAAACACACAAAAACGUAUUUUUAUGUUUAUAAAGUUCAUGGAAAUAAAGCCAGUCAGCUAGUUUUUCGUCCUUCCGUGAUGCUCGUAGAUCCAACUUUGUCUUGUCCAAUUCUCACGUUGCAUUUUCAACCUAGUGCCUCACCUUGAGCCGCGUGAGACUGAGACCUGCCUGCCAGACAAUCUCCCGUGCAUGGAAUAACAAUAAUUAUUCUGUUUAACUGGUAAGUGAGGUAAACAGUAAAAAGGAACUUUUCGUAUAUCUUUGUUUCUCUCAUGUGGUUCGAUGUCCUGAAAUAUGUAAUUUUUCCCUCCAUUGUAAAAUAGGGACUGUUAGUUGAGACAUGGUCAAUCUUCAAAUUAUUGCAUUGAAAUUCUUAUCUUACCUACAUAAAUUCAACUAUAGUACUAUCUUUUGGAAUUUUUCAAGUAAAUAUUCAUACAUCAAUAAAUAAGGUUAGAGAAACAUGACUGCAAGUUUUUCUACAACAUCUUAUUUUUAAACAUGGUAACUCAAUUAUAAAAUAUAUAUAUUAUAACUUUAUAUGUCUGGCAAUCAUAGUAAAGGUAGACUAAGUGAAUUUGGGCAAACAUUUUCCAUGACCACCCACAUACUUAUUGCUUUCUCAUUAUUAUUCUUUUCCACGUAUCACCACUACUGUACUACAAUCAGCAUGCCAACAUUAUUAUUUCUGUUCUUACAAUUUUAUUAUUCAUGCUAAAUAUUUAUUGAAAAGUAUUUCCAUAUUUUUUUAUCUAUUUAUGCAUAGGCUCAGAAAUUGUUAAUAAGUGAUAACUACAUAGACUUUUAAAUAUUUUAUUUUUCUAAAAUAUGUUUCAUUGCCUUUUCUCUGCCUUAAUACGAUGCUGAAAGUAAAAAUAUAUGCAUCGCAUAAAACUGUACUUGUAAAUAUCAUGGAAACUACUUUUUAAAAUUUUAAUUUAUCUUAGUGGAAUGUGCUUUGUUUUUGUGUUGUCGUUAGUUGAAUAGUUGUGCUAGUUUUUGUACUGGGAUCGUAAGCAACUUCAUAUAAUAACAAAUACUCCAUCAUUUAUAUAUGGUACACGUAACAAAAGAUUUUGAUGAGAUAUGAAAACUGAGAGAGAAGAUGCAUACAUGCAGAUAGGAUGCAUGCAUGCGUGCAUACACCAGGAUGAGUGCGCUUUGUGUAAGAAUGAUUUUGGUGUAUGGAGUACCAUAUUAAUAUUAUACAUAUGCAUCAUGCAGAGACAAAAUAGGACAUGAUCAAGUUGCAAACCUGUCACUCGGAGCAUGCAGAGACAAAAAUAGGACAUGAUCAACUUUACGGGGACGGCUCCAGUGGCAUAAACAGGAACAGCAAGGCAAGUCCAUCAUUCCAAAGCCUUGGAUAGAUGCAUGUAUAUCAAGCCGAUUGAACUCCAAGAUUUCGUUUGAACCGAUGAAUGCUUGAUCGACUAGCGAUAAUUAUGAAUGAAUUGCGGCCGUGGCGGCAUGAGCAGAAGCUAAGCGAGAUACCUUGCAGUCAAACCUCUUGGUUGUAUAGAUACAUGCAUCAGGAUAGAUUCAAAUGCGAGAUACCUUGCGAGCCCGAUGGACGCCUGAUGACUGGGAUAAUUACAAGCGAAUUGUGGGUGUGGCGGCAUGAGCAGAAGUUAGGCCCAGGCGGACACCCGCUCGACCAUCCAUAAGAACACGUCAGAGGCGACCAUGCAUGAGGAGAAGCCAAGCGAACGCGGCAGCCAUCUAAGAUAACAGGUUACGAAGAUCGGAUGGCUACAAUGUCUCAAUUUAUAAAGGAUCAUUAUUUUCUUAUGAGAGGCGAUUUCCUAUGCUUGAUGGUAGCUACACACCCUCUAGCAUAAGUGUCUUUUUAAAUAUAUGUAGUGUCGGGUUUCCAUGGCAUUGGAACAGGUGCAUGUUUGUUGUAUAGAAAUGACAUUUUCCAACUUAACUUUCUUUUUUUUAUUUACCUUUUUGACACAAGUGACUUUUGGUUGUGUAGAAAUGACGCUU
rnacentral:lncRNA from 1 species